AUGCGUGUGGUUGCAGCUGGCACAGAUCGAAUAUUUCAGAUCAUCAUGCCCGCUACCCAAUUGCCUGCCGGCGAGGCCUGGGACCGCCGGCGUGAGCUGCAGGCGUUCGACGACACCAAGGCGGGCGUCAAGGGCCUCGUCGACGCCGGCGUCACGGCCCUCCCGCCCAUCUUCCGCCACUCGCCGGAGUCCCUCGAGGGCAUCACGUCCUCAAACCAUGUCACGGGGGCCAUCCCGACCGUCGACCUAUCGGCCGCGCGGCGCGAGGACACGGUCGCCCUGGUGCGGCGCGCGGCCGGGACGGUGGGCUUCUUCCAGGUGGUCAACCACGGCGUGCCGGCCGAGCUCAUGGCCGGCAUGCUCGAGGGGGUGCGCCGGUUCAACGAGGGGCCCGCCGAGGCGAAGCAGGCCAUCUACAGCAGGGAUCAAGCUCGCAAGGUGCGUUUCGCUUCCAACUUCGACCUCUUCUCGUCGGCGGCGGCCAACUGGCGCGACACCCUCUUCUUCCACCUCGCUCCGGACCCGGCACCUUCCCAAGAGCUGCCCGAGGCUGUCAGGGAUGUGGUCACCGAGUACGGAAAGGCGGUGACCAAGGUGGCGCUGUCCGUGCUGGAGCUGCUGUCGGAGUCCCUGGGCCUGAGCAGCGACCACCUGCGCGACAUGGGCUGCGCGGAGAACCUCAACGCGGUGUGCCAAUACUAUCCGCCGUGCCCGGAGCCGUACCUCACCUGGGGCACCAAGAGGCACACCGACCCGGGGUUCCUCACCGUCCUCCUGCAGGACGGCAUGGGCGGUCUCCAGGUGCUCGUCGAUCACAAGACCUGGGUGGACGUCCCUCCCGUGCCCGGCGCUUUCAUCAUCAACAUCGGCGACCUUCUUCAGCUUGUCAGCAAUGACCAGUUCAGGAGCGUGGAGCACCGGGUCCUGGCCAACAAGAGCAAAGACACCGCGAGGGUCUCCGUGGCAUCCUUCUUCAACACCGACAUGGAGAGAUCCACGAGGCUGUAUGGCCCCAUCACCGAUGGACGCAAUCCCCCGAUCUACAGGAGCGUCACGGCUCGAGACUUCAUCGCCACAUUUAACCGCAUCGGCCUCGAUGGUCGCUCGCUCGACCACUACCGGUUGGACCAGCAUACUCCUACACCUGCUGUGGAGGGGUGUGAAUGA
rnacentral:rRNA from 1 species